UUUGGGAAGCACAAAGGCUUUUGCUCAAGUAGCUUUGAGCAGCUUCUCCUGCCUCCUCCUGAGCCAAAGAACCCUUCCCAACACUCCAUGCUGGUAUUUUCCAGGUCAAGCUUAGCCACAGUGUUCUCUGGAUUGCAAGGAAAGCCUCUUGAAAAAGCAGCACGUGCCUUCAAGCACGGAGCAAACUUGGUGAUGCAGCUGCAGAGAGCCAGGAACCAGCUCCUGAAAUGGGAAGAAGAGUCAUUUACAUGGUAAUUAAUAGCAUUUGAAGGAAGGAUACGUUGAGAAAUAGCACAUACGCCCUGAUUAAACAAGUGGGAAUUAGCCCUGGGAAUGCCCAGGACAAAGAAGGGGCAGUUCCCUUUUGGUUUGGCUCAUGAUGUGAGGAAUUAAAAGGCUGGUAAAAGCUGCUGCAGAUUUAUGAAAGGGAAGAUCCCACCGGGCAAAGGGGUUGAGAUGCCGAGGUUGGAAAUGGAAUAUGUUUGAUGACACGCACAGAGAACAUUUUGUCUCCUGGCACAUGAGGCAUAAAACACAACCCUGUUGUGCAGUGUAGGGGUUUUCCAGGCUUCUCUGCUGCAUUUAGAACUCUGUGGCCUCAGGUAAUAAAUACAUGUAUACACACACCCACGUUCAUCCUUAUCCCAGGCCGGGGAUUAACCAAAACAGGGGCAGUGCAUCCUUGGUGGAGCUCAGUUACCAAGGCUGUGCCGGAGCAUCCGGGUCAAACCUGAGCAGCAGGAACAGAGGGGACAGCAAGAGGCUCUUGGUUUGUCUCUGAGUGGGUGCAGGGCACGAUUUGAUAAUGUCCCACACUUGGAAGUGACUCCUUCCCCUGCAAACCAGGGAGCAAAUCCCCUCUUCCCUAUCCCAGCAAUGACAGCUGCUCCUGCUUCCCGGGCUGGUGGGACACGCCAGGUCUGAUGUGAGCAGGGAUUUUCACUGACACCAUAUAGCAGUGGCAACAGAUGGAACCAUAAGAUCAAUAUACAGUCCACAUAAUUAAGAAUCGUGUAUUUAAUUGUGCCUUUUCAACAAGCAUUUCAAAUGCUCCUUAAAUCAGCCACGUGGU